rnacentral:piRNA from 1 species
UGAAAUGCAAGUGCUUCGGCCCCUGGGU